rnacentral:rRNA from 1 species
UACGUAGGGUGCAAGCGUUGUCCGGAAUUAUUGGGCGUAAAGAGCUCGUAGGCGGCUUGUCGCGUCGACUGUGAAAUCCCGCGGCUCAACUGCGGGUCUGCAGCCGAUACGGGCAGGCUAGAGUUCGGUAGGGGAGACUGGAAUUCCUGGUGUAGCGGUGAAAUGCGCAGAUAUCUGGAGGAACACCGGUGGCGAAGGCGGCAUCCUGGACCGGCAUUGACGCUGAGGAGCGAAAGCAUGGGGAGCGAAGAGGA